rnacentral:rRNA from 1 species
AACGUAGGAGACAACCGUUAUCCGGAUUUACUGGGCGUAAAGGGCGUGUAGGUGGUUUCGUAAGUCUGGCGUGAAAUUUUUCGGCUUAACCGGGAAAGGUCGUCGGAUACUGCAGAACUAGAGGACGGUAGAGGCGUGUGGAAUUCCGGGUGUAGUGGUGAAAUGCGUAGAGAUCCGGAGGAACACCAGUGGCGAAGGCGACACGCUGGGCCGUACCUGACACUGAUGCGCGACAGCAUGGGGAGCAAACAGG